GUGCUACGGGGGGCAGCAGUGGGGGAUAUUGCACAAUGGGGGAAACCCUGAUGCAGCGACGCCGCGUGUGGGAAGACAGUCCUCUGGAUUGUAAACCACUGUCCCCAGGGACGAAGAUGACGGUACCUGGGGAGGAAGCUCCGGCUAACUACGUGCCAGCAGACGCGGUAAUACGUAGGGAGCGAGCGUUGUCCGGAAUUACUGGGUGUAAAGGGAGCGUAGGCGGGGAUGCAAGAUGGGUGUCAAAACUACCGGCGCAACUGGGA
rnacentral:rRNA from 1 species